rnacentral:rRNA from 1 species
GACGAAGGGGGCUAGCGUUGUUCGGAAUUACUGGGCGUAAAGGGCGCGUAGGCGGCCUGCUAAGUCGGACGUGAAAUCCCUCGGCUCAACCGAGGAACUGCGUCCGAUACUGGUGGGCUUGAAUCCGGGAGAGGGAUGUGGAAUUCCAGGUGUAGCGGUGAAAUGCGUAGAUAUCUGGAGGAACACCGGUGGCGAAGGCGGCAUCCUGGACCGGUAUUGACGCUGAGGCGGCGAAAAGCUAGGGGAGCAAACGGG